rnacentral:ncRNA from 2 species
CGUUCAGGCGGGGAUGGAGUCCCCCGCUAACCGCCUUUCCAGGCUGAUGACUCCUACUGUCGG